CAUGGCUCAGAUUGAACGCUGGCGGCAUGCUUUACACAUGCAAGUCGGACGGCAGCACAGAGAAGCUUGCUUCUUGGGUGGCGAGUGGCGAACGGGUGAGUAACAUAUCGGAACGUACCGAGUAGUGGGGGAUAACUGAUCGAAAGAUUAGCUAAUACCGCAUACGUCUUGAGAGGGAAAGCAGGGGACCUUCGGGCCUUGCGCUAUUCGAGCGGCCGAUAUCUGAUUAGCUAGUUGGUGGGGUAAAGGCCUACCAAGGCGACGAUCAGUAGCGGGUCUGAGAGGAUGAUCCGCCACACUGGGACUGAGACACGGCCCAGACUCCUACGG
rnacentral:rRNA from 1 species